rnacentral:sRNA from 1 species
UAAUGGUAAUGAGAAGAGAGAUAUGCUGUAACAUACCUCUCUAGUGUAGAGCCGUUACUAACGGUGACAAAAUUUUAAAGAUU